GAUGAACGCUGACAGCAUGCUUAACACAUGCCAGUCAACUUGAAUUUGGGUUUUUAACUUAGGUUUGGGUGGCGGACGGGUGAGUAACGCGUAAAGAACUUGCCUCACAGCUAGGGACAACAUUUGGAAACGAAUGCUAAUACCUAAUAUUAUGAUAAUAGGGCAUCCUAUAAUUAUGAAAGCUAUAAGCGCUGUGAGAGAGCUUUGCGUCCCAUUAGCUAGUUGGAGAGGUAACGGCUCACCAAGGCGAUGAUGGGUAGCCGGCCUGAGAGGGUGAUCGGCCACAAGGGGACUGAGACACGGCCCUUACGCCUACGGGAGGCAGCAGUGGGGAAUAUUGGACAAUGGACCGAGAGUCUGAUCCAGCAAUUCUGUGUGCACGAUGAAGUUUUUCGGAAUGUAAAGUGCUUUCAGUUGGGAAGAAACAAAUGACGGUACCAACAGAAGAAGUGACGGCUAAAUACGUG
rnacentral:rRNA from 1 species